UACGUAGGUGGCGAGCGUUGUCCGGAUUUAUUGGGCGUAAAGCGCGCGCAGGCGGUGCGGUAAGUCCGUCGUGAAAUCUCCCGGCUCAACUGGGAGGGUGCGGUGGAGACUGCCGGACUGGAGGCACUCAGAGGCCGGUGGAAUUCCCGGUGUAGUGGUGAAAUGCGUAGAGAUCGGGAGGAACACCAGUGGCGAAGGCGGCCGGCUGGGGGUGACCUGACGCUGAGGCGGCGAAAAGCGUGGGGAGCGAACCGGG
rnacentral:rRNA from 1 species